rnacentral:snRNA from 1 species
UACUCUGGUUUCUCUUCAGAUCGUAUAAAUCUUUCGCCUUUUACUAAAGAUUUCCGUGGAGAGGAACGAAACUGGAGCCUAUUAUACA